AGUGAACGCUGGCGGUAGGCCUAACACAUGCAAGUCGAACGGCAGCACAGUAAGAGCUUGCUCUUACGGGUGGCGAGUGGCGGACGGGUGAGGAAUACAUCGGAAUCUACUUUUUCGUGGGGGAUAACGUAGGGAAACUUACGCUAAUACCGCAUACGACCUACGGGUGAAAGCAGGGGAUCUUCGGACCUUGUGCGAUUGAAUGAGCCGAUGUCGGAUUAGCUAGUUGGCGGGGUAAAGGCCCACCAAGGCGACGAUCCGUAGCUGGUCUGAGAGGAUGAUCAGCCACACUGGAACUGAGACACGGUCCAGACUCCUACGGGAGGCAGCAGUGGGGAAUAGUGGACAAUGGGCGCGAGCCUGAUCCAGCCAUACCGCGUGGGUGAAGAAGGCCUUCGGGUUGUAAAGCCCUUUUGUUGGGAAAGAAAAGCAGCAGGUUAAUACCCCGCUGUUCUGACGGUACCCAAAGAAUAAGCACCGGCUAACUUCGUG
rnacentral:rRNA from 1 species